GAUUUAGACAGGGAAAAGGGGGUCACUUUAAAGAUUCGUCCUUCUCCCUUGUUUUCCGUUUAAAGUCGAGUCGGGAAACUUGUCUUGUCAAGAGAUUUUGCCUGGCUAAACACGGCCCCUUCCCCCAUCUGUAACUCAUUCCCCCUCUCACACACACACACACUUGCUGUGUAUGACCUCGAGGUCACGGUGAAGUGACUUUGAGCCUUGUCUAACUGGGCCUCUUUGAGAGCAGCCCUCGCAUUCCUGCUCACUCAGACAGUCCAUGCGGCGCUUGUUACCAGCGCCGGGGAGGAAGUUUCUGCCGGUAGGGAUUAUGCGCAGUUUCCUCAGCCCGGGAGCUUCGGCCUUGUCCCCUCCCACCGCCGAAAAAAGCAGCGAUUCCACAAAACGAGCAGGAGGGGGAAAGCGGUGCGCCACAAACUUAAACCUGCUCUUCUCGCCACCAGGCAGUGCCCGAAGGUUUCUCCUCGCACUUGCUUUUUAUAUAUUUCUAUAUUUUAAAAACAUAUCUCGAGCUCUGCUUGCGCACCACGGUACGUUUUUCAGUAGGAAACAUCCAACGUUUCGGCCAUGUUCGCAGCACCGUGGUACAGAAGUGCAUUGUAUUGGGACCCGAGUAAGGAAGGAGGGAGCGAGGGAGGAGGAGGAGGAGGAGGAGGAGGAGGAUGGUGGUGCUGGAGAAGCACACAGCUGCACGGCACACAGAAGCCGGUUUCCCAACCCUGACAGCAAGGGAGCGAGGGAACAAGGGGCCUCGCUUCAGCAGCUCCAUCCAGGAGAGAGAUGUUCUUUCUUUCUUUCUUUCUUUCUUUCUUUGUAUUUUUUAUUUUUUUUAAACCGCUCUGAAAUACAGAAUGGAUCAGGACGAGAAAGCGGAUUCUUUUCCCUUGUCCGUGGCUGGCUACUCUUAUCCACUACAGAGCGCCCCGGAUCAGACGUGCCGGACGUGUGCACUUGACUGCAGUAAAAUUGCGACGAGCGGGCGUGCGUGCGAUACGUUUCCGGAGCCGUGCUACAUCAGGAAUAGAAAGUUAAGAAGUCACCUUGUGCAGCAUGCAGGUUUGGGUACACCUUACGUGCUGAUGUUAUCGCCUGAUGUAAAGCGACGCGUUCUCCUAACUGAAGUCUGUGACUUUCCCCAGAAGUCAUCCUGGUCGACCUAAAGGCUUUUCCACGUCGGCCAUGCAUAAGUCAUGUAGCGCUACCCUUGCGGCAGUGUGUGUGUGUGUGUGUGUGUGUAAGUCACGUGGUAGGGUGUGCAGUAAGGAAAGCACAGCUGGUAAGUUCUGCAUAUACAGAAGACUCACAGACACACACACACACACACACACACACACACACAUACAUACAUACAUACAUACAUAC
ensembl:lncRNA